rnacentral:rRNA from 1 species
GACGAACGCUGGCGGCGUGCUUAACACAUGCAAGUCGAGCGAUGAAGCUUUCUUCGGAAAGUGGAUUAGCGGCGGACGGGUGAGUAACACGUGGGUAACCUGCCUCAUAGAGGGGAAUAGCCUUUCGAAAGGAAGAUUAAUACCGCAUAAGAUUGUAAUACCGCAUGGUAUAGCAAUUAAAGGAGCAAUCCGCUAUGAGAUGGACCCGCGUCGCAUUAGCUAGUUGGUGAGGUAACGGCUCGACCAAGGCGACGAUGCGUAGCCGACCUGAGAGGGUGAUCGGCCACAUUGGGACUGAGACACGGCCCAGACUCCUACGGGAGGCAGCAGUGGGGAAUAUUGCACAAUGGGGGAAACCCUGAUGCAGCAACGCCGCGUGAGUGAUGACGGUCUUCGGAUGUAAAAGCUCUGUCUUUAGGGACGAU